GAGCAGGUCUGUCGGCACCAUUUUUCCAACAGCAUUAUUUUUAAUUAAGAAUAAUGACGAAGGAUCGAGGUAAAUGAAUGAAGAUACUGACGUUCACUGGGAUAGAGGGUAGGAGUUUACCUCAGAAGAUGAACUUGGAAAAUCACUUCUAUGGUAUUCUUGCUAAAAUUGCUAAAAAUGCCUAGCCUGAAUUCAGUCAAGAUCAGACAAACCCAAAUUGAGGGACAUUCUUAAAAAAUACCUGGGCAGGUACUCUUCAAAUAUGUCAAGGUCAUGGAAGACAAAGACGUUGAAAGUCUGUUCCAUAUUAAGGGAGACAAAACAACUACAUGCAACAUGUGGACCUG